rnacentral:rRNA from 1 species
AGCGGAAGGCCCUUCGGGGUACUCGAGCGGCGAACGGGUGAGUAACACGUGAGCAACCUGCCCCCGACUCUGGGAUAAGCCCGGGAAACUGGGUCUAAUACCGGAUACGACACCCCCUCGCAUGGGGUGGGUGUGGAAAGUUCUUCGGUUGGGGAUGGGCUCGCGGCCUAUCAGCUUGUUGGUGGGGUAGUGGCCCACCAAGGCGACGACGGGUAGCCGGCCUGAGAGGGCGACCGGCCACACUGGGACUGAGACACGGCCCAGACUCCUACGGGAGGCAGCAGUGGGGAAUAUUGCACAAUGGGGGAAACCCUGAUGCAGCGACGCCGCGUGCGGGAUGACGGCCUUCGGGUUGUAAACCGCUUUCAGCAGGGACGAAUCAAGACGGUACCUGCAGAAGAAGCGCCGGCUAACUACGUGCCAGCAGCCGCGGUAAUACGUAGGGCGCAAGCGUUGUCCGGAAUUAUUGGGCGUAAAGAGCUCGUAGGCGGUCUGUCGCGUCGGAUGUGAAAGCUCGAGGCUUAACCUCGGGUCUGCAUCCGAUACGGGCAGACUAGAGGCAGGUAGGGGAGAACGGAAUUCCCGGUGUAGCGGUGAAAUGCGCAGAUAUCGGGAGGAACACCGGUGGCGAAGGCGGUUCUCUGGGCCUGUACUGACGCUGAGGAGCGAAAGCGUGGGGAGCGAACAGGAUUAGAUACCCUGGUAGUCCACGCCGUAAAC